GGAAGGUCAAAUGAGAUAAUAUAUGCAAAAGCACUCUGUCAGUGAAAAGUGCUCUGUUUCUGGUCUAAUAACCCUCCCCAACCCACUCACAGUUCUUCAUUUUCAAAUUCCUUAGUGAGCAGUUGGUUUCGUUGUCUUGAUUUGGGGCAGUAAUGAUUUCUGAGAAGCAGGCUUUCUUCCAUCAAAUAUUUGUGGAGCUGGAACUGGGCUUCACUAUCAUAUUCCAAGGCCCUGUACUGGGAACAGACGAAGAAGCUCCUCCCAGAGACUGGAAGAAUGGUACAAGGUGAGUGGACAGGGAGGUCAGCCGCAACCUGUUAUUCUUUCACAUGGAAAUCUGAAAUAGUGGGAACAUUCUCUUAUUUAUUUUCAGUUAUUCUAAAUGUAGACCUCUGUGUGGAGGUGAGAUAAGAUGGAAAGAUGAGGGGAUGAGGAGGAAAAUGGUAACAGAAAAUCAUGAUUAGUGACUUUUUCUCCUGGAAAAUCACUCUGUUGGUUUAUCUAGCUUAGCCUUGGGGUCUUUCAAAAGUUGAAUCUAGAUCCUUAAGUCCAGUGCCUUUCAGAAUUUCC
ensembl:lincRNA